AAUGAAUUGGUUUUAAAUUUUUAAAACUUGUUCUUUAGUUUAUUGGUUCUAUAAGCUCAAAAUCCUGCAUGUUGAAUUUAUUUGAAAUGAGAGCAAACUCUAUGGAGAAGAUUAAAAGCCUGUUUCUUAAUUUGCCAGUGGAUGAUACAGCCUAGAAGUAUCCGACAAAGAAAGAAGAUGGAGGAAAAAACGAGGCAACCUCUAAGGCGAUAGGAGGAGAGAGAAACGAAGAUGGACUACGGCGUGGCACCACACAAGCACAUGCGUCCAGAGGACGCUCUCCCAGGCUCACCAGGGCCGGAAAGUCACUCACUACACACUCACCAAGAAAAGCUUCUCCUGCUUCUGUUUCGGGCUCAUCGUUGCUGUCCACUCAGUAUUUCCUCAUCUACAAAAUGAGCUGAAGAAGGAAAUGGCAAAGCACUCCAGGAUCUUUGCCAAGAAAACCCCAAAAUGGAGUCACCAAGACUUGGACACAAUUGAAAUGACUGAAUAGAUGCACCUACACAGAUGUACAAUAUGCACACACAUACACAUCUUAUAGCGGUGCGAAUGUAUUAUAUAUGUAUAUUUAUGCAUGUGAAAAUGUGCACAUGAAUUUAAACACACACAUAUGUGUACACAAUACACAUGUGUAUAUGUCUACAUAUAUACUCACACAUGAACUGUCUGCCUAAAGACAUGAUGUUUUACAUUCAUAACAUUCCUCUUGGGUUCUGAGGUUCUGUUAAGGGAGUUAAGGGAUGUCUCUCAUCUCUGCUAUUGGUUCAAGUUUCUACUGAUUGUACUUCUUCAAUUUUAGGUAUCCCUAAUUCCAUUUCACCACUUAAUAGUCAGAUUAGCUUUUACAAAAGAAUAUUUAUUUCAACAAACUCAGGAAUUAUAUGAACACAAUUACAAAACAUUUACCACACAAAUAAAA